UACGAAGGGGGCUAGCGUUGCUCGGAAUCACUGGGCGUAAAGGGUGCGUAGGCGGGUUUUUAAGUCAGGGGUGAAAUCCUGGAGCUCAACUCCAGAACUGCCUUUGAUACUGAAGAUCUCGAGUCCGGGAGAGGUGAGUGGAACUGCGAGUGUAGAGGUGAAAUUCGUAGAUAUUCGCAAGAACACCAGUGGCGAAGGCGGCUCACUGGCCCGGUACUGACGCUGAGGCACGAAAGCUAGGGGAGCAAACAGG
rnacentral:rRNA from 1 species